UACGUAGGGUGCGAGCGUUAAUCGGAAUUACUGGGCGUAAAGAGUGCGUAGGCGGUUCUUGAAGUCCGCUGUGAAAUCCCCGGGCUCAACCUGGGAACUGCAUUUGUGACUGCAUCGCUGGAGUGCGGCAGAGGGGGAUGGAAUUCCGCGUGUAGCAGUGAAAUGCGUAGAUAUGCGGAGGAACACCGAUGGCGAAGGCAAUCCCCUGGGCCUGCACUGACGCUCAUGCACGAAAGCGUGGGGAGCAAACAGG
rnacentral:rRNA from 1 species